GGGGUUACUGUUCAGUGAUAGAGCAUCUGCUUUGAAUGCAGAAGGUCUCAGGUUCAAUCCCUGGCAUCUCCA